CUUUAAGAACCAGUGGUAAAUCACACGGAGGGGCAAACUGUUUGAUAGGUGGAUAGUUCUUUAGCACUGCCAUCAUAAACCUUGCUAUAUCUGUAUCAAAGGCCCAUUUGUGGUUUGUGAGAGCCGAGAGAGCUGAAAUAUGCACUUUUAAGGUAUUAUAGCUCAACCCCUUAUCUAAGCCGGACUGAAGAAAUUUCAGAAUGUCUUUAGUUGAUGGAUUCUGAAUGUCAAUCUGUUUAGAAAUGGUAAUCAAUAUUGUCA